AAACAAGGAAUGUGGAGCUAAUGCAUGCUGCUAAGGAUGGAAAGGUCUUGUGUUUAUUGGUUGUGCCUGAGACACCAGUCACAGUUGUACCUUAUUUCCAUUUUAGGUAAUUCUAUACAUUUUAGGUGAGCGGCAGAUUUAAUUUUGAAGAUGGGUGACUUUCAGAUGUUGUGAUGAAGAUUGUUGAAAGGAAUUAUCAGCAUAGAACCAAUCCAUAUGAAUGUGCAAGUCAGGACUUGUACAACACCUGAGUACCUAGAUGACUGUUGAACUAAUUGGUGAACAAGAAAAGAUGUCAGAGAGGGGAAUCCAAUACAGAUGUCAUGAUCAAGAAUAUAUACUCUUAUCAAUGAUAUGAUCAAGAAUAUGUAAACUUGUAACGAUUUAAAAUAUCUUAUAGAUCUGUAAAUCACUUUUCAUUACUUAAUUGUUCACACAUUAUCAUCUACACUUAUGCUAUAAAUCUUAUCUGUAUAUUAAUCGCCCCCUCUUAUCUAACCCCCUGCUGAUUGUAAUGACCUGUGUAUUGACUCCUGAUCUUAAGGAUCUUGUAAUGUGCUCCUGAUCGUCAGGAAUGGAUCUUGAGUAUAUAUAUAGUGCGACAGAAUUUUAGAAUAAGAAGAUGGAAAUAUAGAAGACUUAGUAGAUAGAACUGUUAGAGAUAGAUAAAGCUACUCACUUACUUGGACUAUUACCUAAUAUUUCUUGGAUUUAUAUGUACAUGUAAUUGUUUUACUUGGAUUUUAUUUUUUAUGAAUUAUUUUUCCUGAAUGUUUCUAUUUGUGAUGUGCUGUGUAAGUAAACUGUAGAUUAGAA